GACGAACGCUGGCGGCGCGCCUAACACAUGCAAGUCGAGCGGGGUCUAUUGGAGUGCUUGCACUCUGGCAGACCUAGCGGCGGACGGGUGAGUAACACGUGAGCAACCUGCCUUACAGAGGGGGAUAACGACUGGAAACGGUCGCUAAUACCGCAUAACAUCAUCGUAUCGCAUGGUAUGGUGAUCAAAGGAGCAAUCCGCUGUAAGAUGGGCUCGCGCCCGAUUAGAUAGUUGGCGGGGUAACGGCCCACCAAGUCGACGAUCGGUAGCCGGACUGAGAGGUUGAUCGGCCACAUUGGGACUGAGACACGGCCCAGACUCCUACGGGAGGCAGCGGUGAGGAAUAUUGGUCAAUGGACGAGAGUCUGAACCAGCCAAGUCGCGUGAAGGAUGACUGCCCUAUGGGUUGUAAACUUCUUUUAUGUGGGAAUAAAAAAGGGAACGUGUUCCCUAUUGCAUGUACCACUAUGAAUAAGCAUCGGCUAACUCCGUGCCAGCCGCCGCCGUAAUAC
rnacentral:rRNA from 1 species